CAGUCGCCGCGGUAAUACAGAGGGUGCGAGCGUUAAUCGGAUUUACUGGGCGUAAAGCGUGCGUAGGCGGCUUCUUAAGUCGGAUGUGAAAUCCCUGAGCUUAACUUAGGAAUUGCAUUCGAUACUGGGAAGCUAGAGUAUGGGAGAGGAUGGUAGAAUUCCAGGUGUAGCGGUGAAAUGCGUAGAGAUCUGGAGGAAUACCGAUGGCGAAGGCAGCCAUCUGGCCUAAUACUGACGCUGAGGUACGAAAGCAUGGGGAGCAAACAGGAUUAGAUACCCCAGUAGUCCCUGUCUCUUAUAC
rnacentral:rRNA from 1 species